GAUGAACGCUGACAGAAUGCUUAACACAUGCAAGUCAACUGUGGCGGACGGGUGAGUAACGCGUAAAGAACUUGCCUCACGGAUAGGGACAACAUUUGGAAACGAAUGCUAAUACCUGAUACUGUGAGAGAGCUUUGCGUCCCAUUAGCUCGUUGGAGAGGUAACGGCUCACCAAGGCGAUGAUGGGUAGCCGGCCUGAGAGGGUGAUAGGCCACAAGGGGACUGGGACACGGCCCUUACGCCUACGGGAGGCAGGAGUGGGGAAUAGAGGAAAAUGGACCAAAGUAUGAUACAGCAAUUCUGUGUGCAAGAUGAAGUUUUCGGAAGGUAAAGUGCUUUCAGUUGGGAAGCGGUACCAACAGAAGAAGUGACGGCUAAAUACGUGCCAGCAGCCGCGGUAAUAC
rnacentral:rRNA from 1 species